rnacentral:ncRNA from 1 species
CGACCUCAGAUCAGGCGGGACUACCCGCCGGAUUUAAGCAUAUUAAUAAGCGGAGGAAAAGAAAACAACCGUGAUUCCCUUAGUAGCGGCGAGCGAACCGGGAAAAGCCCAUCGCCGAAUCUCGCCGCGCACUUUUGUGUCGCGGCACGUAUGAGAGUUGUGGCGUACGGGCCGGCCUCGUUGCCGGGGCGCACGUGACGGUCCAAGUCUCCCUUGAACGGGGCCAUGGCCCGCAGAUGGUGCCAGGCCAGUAGAGGCCGUCACAGCGUUCCGGGAUCGGACCGCGCCUUCGAGUCGGGUUGCUUGAGAGUGCAGCCCGAAGCGGGUGGUAAACUCCAUCUAAGGCUAAAUACGGCCACGAGACCGAUAGUUUACAAGUACCGUGAGGGAAAGUUGAAAAGAACUUUGAAGAGAGAGUUCAUAAGAACGUGAAACCGCUCGGUUGUAAACGGACAGAGCUCGCGAAUCCCCGCCGGGCGAAUUCACGGUCGGUCUAACCGCCGGCCGGAUCUUUCGCUCGGUUAGCGGACGUCGCGACCCGUUGGGCGCCGGCCGAAUGGCCCGGGUGACGUUCGUCGCGUCGGUCGCGUUUCGGCGUGACCGUUCGCGCCGAGCCCCGGUGCUCAUGGUCGGCUCGCCCGACGGCAAGAACCGUCGACGCGGCCCCGUCGCAGGCGGGGUCCCGUCGGUCGGCGACGUGUUUCGAGCUACUUUCCGACCCGUCUUGAAACACGGACCAAGGAGUCUAACGUGUGCGCGAGUCAACGGUGAUCUUACGAAAAACCACGUUUGGCGCAAUGAAAGUGAACCGUUUACGGUGCGGACGAUGGCCUAGCGACCGAACCCACCGGCGUUCAAAGUCGCGCUGGUCCGCAGUCCGGGGGCGUCUCCGCCAAGUCGGCUUCGGCCGGCUGGGGGCGCACCCUUAGCGCACACGUUGGUACCCGAAAGAUGGUGAACUAUGCCUGGCCAGGAUGAAGUCAGGGGAAACCCUGAUGGAGGUCCGCAGCGAUUCUGACGUGCAAAUCGAUCGUCUGAGCUGGGUAUAGGGGCGAAAGACUAAUCGAACCAUCUAGUAGCUGGUUCCAUCCGAAGUUUCCCUCAGGAUAGCUGGCGCCGAUGUGUCCCGCCCGUUCGCGGGCGUACGGACGCCGGUGGGACUCCGCGCUGUACGGCGCGGUAACAACACGCUCGUAACACGGAGGAUGUCUCAUACGGUAAAGCGAAUGAUUAGAGGACAUUGGGGCCGAAACGACCUCAACCUAUUCUCAAACUAUAAAUGAGUGAGAUCGCCGGCUUUACCUGGUACACCGCGUGAACCGCGUGCGAAGCCGGCGACGGAACCCUAGG